GUCUACGGCCAUACCACCCUGAACAAGCCUGAUCCCUUUUGAUGUCGGAAGCUAAGGAGGGUCGAGGCCGGUUAGUACUUGGAUGGGAGACCACGUAGGAAGACCAAGUGCUGUAGUCA
rnacentral:rRNA from 1 species